GUGCUUAAUCUGCACCUCUACUAAAAUUGGAAUGGUACAGAGAUGAUUAACAUGGUUCCUGCGCAAGGAUGACAAGCAAAUUUGAAAAGCGUUAAAAAAAAAU